rnacentral:rRNA from 1 species
CGACGAGGAAGGUGAGGAUGAUGUCAAGUCAGCAUGACCUUUAUAUCCAGGGCUACACACACGCUACAAUGGUCUGUACAAUGGGUAGCCAAGCCGCGAGGCGGAGCCAAUCCUGAAAGCAGGCCUCAGUUCAGAUUGCAGUCUGCAACUCGACUGCAUGAAGCCGGAGUUGCUAGUAACCGCAGGUCAGCAAUACUGCGGUGAAUACGUUCCCGGGUCUU